GUCAAGUUUAAAGGUGUAAAAACAAGUACAGGAUAUUUACAAUAAGCAGACCUCAGUGCAAGAAAGUGUCUUUCCAACACUGAAAAGGUCAAAGGUCAACUUUAAAGGUGUAAAAACAAGUACAGGAUAUUUACAAUAAGCAGACCUCAGUGCAAGAAAGUGUCUUUCCAACACUGAAAAGGUUAAAGGUCAAGUUUAAAGGUGUAAAAAACAAGUACAGGAUAUUUACAAUAAGCAGACCUCAGUGCAAGAAAGUGUCUUUCCAACACUGAAAAGGUC
ensembl:lncRNA